ACUCGAUUUGUGUGGCCCACUCUGUCCAGGUGUCUCAGCUCCCCGAAGAAGCCAUAGACAAACCUGAAACUGUUAUUCAGGAGACAACUAAAGUGACACAGGGAGAAAAGCAGGCAACCAGGCAACCUCACGCAUGAGCCAAGAUACAAAAUCAUUUUUAUGGUCAUGUUAUUGGUCAGAAGAUAAGUGAAUGGGUAAAGAACUUUCAGAAGAGAAAAUAAAACAAAGCACAAGAAAUAGUGGGAUUAGAAAAAUCUCUACGCCUACAAAGGUUACUCUUCCUGGAAGUGAGAAAAGAAGAUACAAAAGAUUCCAACAAGAAGCUUCCAGUAAAUGAAACAAGAACAUAUUUCCCAGAAAACUGGAUAAAACUGCAUUACCGAAUACCCUGGACUAGAGAAAGCUUAGAUGUUCCUCGUGGCAUCUCUCACUUGUUCUGGAAGUAUUAUCUUUAGUUAGGGGUAUUUCCUUAACUAAUAAAGCCUAGCAUUGCUGUU